AUGGUAGGGUUUGAUGAUGUGCUUCAACAACUCCUGCAUAGGCUUACUGAUGGAAACACCAAUCUCCAAAUCAUCCCUAUCGUGGGGAUGGGUGGCAUCGGCAAAACUACUCUUGCAAAAGGUGCGUUUGAACACAAGUUUAUCAAGGAUCAUUUUGAUAUAUGUGUGUGGGCCACCAUUUCUCAAGAUUAUAAUAUAGUAGAAACUCUUAGGCAAGUUCUCUCUCGAGCAGGAGGGUCCUCGAGUAGUAUGGAUGAGAAAGAAUUGGAAGUAAAAUUACACAAGUGUUUAUGGGGUAGGAGGUAUCUCAUUAUAUUGGAUGAUAUGUGGAGCAUAGAUGUGUGGGAUAGGUUGAAAUUUUCGUUUCCUUGUUGCAGUGAGGGUAGUCGAAUAGUGGUAACAACUAGGAUGUCCAACUUAGCUGCCUACUUAACUGAUUCCUAUGGAGUUUUUAAGAUGGGGUUUCUAGAUGAGGCUAGUAGUUGGACUUUGUUCUCCAAAACUGUAUUUGGAGAACAAAGUUUUCCUACUCAACUCGAGAGCAUUGGAAAGAAAAUUGUGGAAAAGUGUAAUGGACUUCCUUUGGCGAUUGUUGUGAUAGGGGGUCUAAUGGCUAAAUCCGAACCUACACUAGAAUAUUGGGAGCACAUAAAGGAAAACUUAAGCUCAAUAGUGAAUUCGGAGAAUGAUGAUUAUUGCUUGAGAAUAUUAAAACUAAGUUAUAAUCAUUUGCCUACCUAUCUAAAGCCUUGUUUUCUUUACAUGGGAGUGUUUGAGGAAGACCGUGUGCUUAGUGCUUCAGAAAUUGUCGAGCUAUGGGAGUCUGAAGGGUUUCUUAAACCAUUAGACAACAAAAGCUUGACAACAAUUGCAAAAGAGUACUUGCAAGAGCUAGUUGAUAGGAAUCUCAUUUUAGUUCAUGAGUUGGGGUUACUUGGGAAUGUAAAAUCCUGCAAAAUUCAUGAUUUACUAAGAGAUUUAUCAAUGAAAGAAGCUCAAAAACAGAGGUUUUUUUAUGUUUUGAGAGAAGAAAGUCCUGUAGGCGUAAUUAGGCAACACCGGAUUGUUAUUCCAAGAAGUACUUCUAAGGAAAAAAUCCUCAAUGCCUUUGAAUCCAUGUCACAUGUUCGUUCUUGUUUACUAUGGUGUGACAAGAUUAGUGAUCUAGAAUUGCCAAAAUCUAGAUUUCUGAGGACACUACAUGCCCAGAGACUUUAUCCAAAGAGAAAUACCCCAACACCUGUGCUUUUCGAAUCGUUCCUCUGCAUGUGCAAACUUCAAUCAAAUUGCUCUGGAAUCUACAUACACUAAUCAUUUUUUGUGAUGGUGUUUCUAUGGAACGAAUUGAUAUCUGGAAAAUGCUUAAACUUAGGCAUGCCGAGUUCAUUAAUUGGAAGAUGCAUCUCCGAGCUCCCCCGAGCGCUGACGAUGAUAUUAUUGUCAUGAAGCAUCUAGAGGUGCUCAGAGGAGUGAAGAAUCUCAAUUUGAGUGAGGAUGUUGUUCAAAGAAUUCCCAAUAUCAAGAACUUAGCCAUAACUUAUGAUAUGGAAGUAAUUGAGGGAGUGAACUAUCUCAGCUGUCUUCAGUGUCUUACUAAACUUGAAUCCUUGAGUUUGUUCGUCUACUCCACCAAUAACGGAAGGUAUGUUCAGAAGAUGAGCUUCCCAGACUCCCUUAAGGAGUUGAUUACUCUCUUUCCCAAUCGGUUUUGAGUGGGAAGACAUACUGCCAAUGAUAGGGGCCUUACCACUUCUUCACGAGCUCACAUUAAUUUCCGGUCGCUUCAAAAAAGGCGAGUGGGAAACAGUUGAAGGCCAAUUCCCCAGCCUCAGGUCACUAAGGUUGGACUCUUGUCAAGAUCUAGAAAACUGGACAGUGUCGGAGAGCUCCCAUUUUCCAUUUCUUCAGGAGCUUCGUCUUUGUGAAAUGAAAAAAAUUGAAGGAGAUUCCUUCAGAAAUUGGAGAAAUACCCACACUGAGAUUAAUUCUGGUGGAUCAUUGCAAUGGAUUAUUGGUGUUAUCAGCUAAAGAGAUAUUAAAGGAGCAAGAGGAUUUACAAGGAGACCAACUAGACCUUCAUGUUUGUGCUUUCGUCGACAAUAAAGAUAAAGCGUUGCAGAGGCUGGCAAGUUCCAAUUUUGAAGUUGUAGUGUCUGGUCUAGUUGAGUCUUCUCUUUCUUUGUAAACUUAAUAUGGUCAAUUUUCAUUUCUCAUCUUGCAAAUUUGGAAUUGCUC